rnacentral:rRNA from 1 species
GACGAACGCUGGCGGCGUGCUUAACACAUGCCAGUCGAACGGAAAGGCCCCUUUGGGGGUCCUCGAGUGGCGAACGGGUGAGUAACACGUGAGUAACCUGCCCUUGACUUCGGGAUAACUUCAGGAAACUGGGGCUAAUACCGGAUAGGAAUCCUUGCUGCAUGGUGGGGGUUGGAAAGCUUCGGCGGUUUUGGAUGGACUCGCGGCUUAUCAGCUUGUUGGUGGGGUAGUGGCUUACCAAGGCUUUGACGGGUAGCCGGCCUGAGAGGGCGACCGGCCACAGUGGGACUGAGAUACGGCCCAGACUCCUACGGGAGGCAGCAGUGGGGAAUAUUGCACAAUGGGCGGAAGCCUGAUGCAGCAACGCCGCGGGCGGGAGGACGGCCUUCGGGUUGUAAACCGCGUUCAGCAGGGGCGAAGCUUGUGGUGACGGUACCUGCAGAAGAAGCACCGGCUAACUACGUG